UAGUCCACGCCGUAAACGAUGUCUACUAGCCGUUGGGGUCCUUGAGACUUUGGUGGCGCAGUUAACGCGAUAAGUAGACCGCCUGGGGAGUACGGCCGCAAGGUUAAAACUCAAAUGAAUUGACGGGGCCCGCACAAGCGGUGGAGCAUGUGGUUUAAUUCGAUGCAACGUGAAGAACCUUACCUGGUCUUGACAUAGUGAGAAUCUUUCAGAGAUGAGAGAGUGCCUUCGGGAAUUCACAUACAGGUGCUGCAUGGCUGUCGUCAGCUCGUGUCGUGAGAUGUUGGGUUAAGUCCCGCAACGAGCGCAACCCUUUUCUAUUUGCCAGCGGGUUAAGCCGGGAACUUUAAGGAUACUGCCAGUGACAAACUGGAGGAAGGCGGGGACGACGUCAAGUCAUCAUGGGCCCUUACGACCAGGGGCUACACACGUGCUACAAUGGUAGGUACAGAGGGUUGCUACACAGCGAUGUGAUGCU
rnacentral:rRNA from 1 species